rnacentral:tRNA from 1 species
AAGGCCAUAGUUUAAAGGUAGAACGAAUUGCUCAUAACGAUUUUGUGUUGGUUCAAUUCCAGCUGGCCUU